GCGCGAGUGGCGAAAUGGCAGACGCGCCAGAUUUAGGUUCUGGUGUCCGAAGGACGUGGGGGUUCGAGUCCCCCCUCGCGCACCA
rnacentral:tRNA from 1 species